UGGGGAAUUUUGGACAAUGGGGGAAACCCUGAUCCAGCCAUCCCGCGUGUGCGAUGAAGGCCUUCGGGUUGUAAAGCACUUUUGGCAGGAAAGAAACGUCAUGGGUUAAUACCCCGUGAAACUGACGGUACCUGCAGAAUAAGCACCGGCUAACUACGUGCCAGCAGCCGCGGUAAUACGUAGGGUGCAAGCGUUAAUCGGAAUUACUGGGCGUAAAGCGUGCGCAGGCGGUUAGGAAAGAAAGCUGUGAAAUCACAGAGCUCAACUUUGGAACUGCAUUUAUAACUAACGGGCUAGAGUGUGUCAGAGGGAGGUGGAAUGCCGCGUGUAGCAGUGAAAUGCGUAGAUAUGCGGAGGAACACCGGUGGCGAAGGCAGCCUCCUGGAAUAACACUAACGCUCAUGCAAGAAAGCGUGGGGGGCAAACAGG
rnacentral:rRNA from 1 species